GGGCGGCUCCCGUUUGGUGCGAGGGGUGCAGGUGGGGAUGUGGGGGUGGUGCAGGAGCUCCCGUUUGGUGCUCAGGGUGGGGGUAGGGAUGUGGGGGGUGCAGGAGUCAGGA